ACCAGACUCCUACGGGAGGCAGCAGUGAGGAAUAUUGGUCAAUGGGCGGGAGCCUGAACCAGCCAAGCCGCGUGAAGGAAGAAGGCGCCAAGCGUCGUAAACUUCUUUUGUCGGGGAACAAAGGGCGCCACGUGUGGCGUUGUGAGUGUACCCGAAGAAAAAGCAUCGGCUAACUACGUGCCAGCAGCCGCGGUAAUACGUAGGGGGCAAGCGUUGUCCGGAUUUACUGGGUGUAAAGGGCGUGUAGCCGGGUUGACAAGUCAGAUGUGAAAUCCUGCGGCUUAACCGCAGAACUGCAUUUGAAACUGUUGAUCUUGAGUACUGGAGAGGCAGACGGAAUUCCUAGUGUAGCGGUGAAAUGCGUAGAUAUUAGGAGGAACACCAGUGGCGAAGGCGGCUUACUGGACUGUAACUGACGUUGAGGCUCGAAAGCGUGGGGAGCAAACAGGAUUAGAUACCCCCGUACG
rnacentral:rRNA from 1 species